AAUGCGAGGGAAUGUUGGUAAACGCCAACAGCCGUUUAACCGGCCCGGAAGCAAGKUGCUGGCAUGGCUGUCGUCAGCUCGUGUCGUGAGAUGUUGGGUCAAGUCCCGCAACGAGCGCAAACCCUUAUCAACAGUUGCCAUCAUUAAGUUGGGAACUCUGUUGAGACUGCCGUUGAUAAAACGGAGGAAGGUGGGGAUGAUGUCAAGUCAUCAUGGCCUUUAUGUUCAGGGCUACACACGUGCUACAAUGGACGGUACAGAACGUUGCUAUCCCGCGAGGGGGAGCUAAUCGCGAAAACCGUUCUCAGUUCGGAUUGGAGUCUGCAACUCGACUCCAUGAAGUUGGAAUCGCUAGUAAUCGCAAAUCAGCAUGUUGCGGUGWAUACGUUCCCGGGUCUYGUACACACCGCCCGUCGCAUCACGAAAGUAGGUUGUACUAGAAGUAGCUGGGCUAACCCGCAAGAGAGGCAGGUUACCACGGUAUGAUUUAUGAUUGGGGA
rnacentral:rRNA from 1 species